CCACUUUCAGUGAAUACUUAAAUUACACUAUCAGUGUCCGUUGAACAUAUUAAGUAUUAUCACAUUAAAUAAUAAUAAUUUUUAUCUCCUUUUUUAAAUAGAAUUUUUGAAAUACCCUUUCCUUAUCUUUUACGGAUCUAGAGUUUAUCCUUCACCUUCCUCUCUCUUUCCUCAUCUAUGGCUUCAAACCUUAUUAAUGUCAAAAUAUCAACGCUAAAUUGCAGACAUGGUGCUCUUAUUUUUUCAAGUGGAAUAUUACUGCUUUGAUUUUUGGGAGAUAUCAUUUAAGAUCUUCAUCAUUCGUUUGUAUGACGAUAUUACAAUAGAAGCCUGGAUCAAGCCUAACAGCAUCAAGGAAGCAUAUGAAAGCUGGUGUACAUGGGAGAAGUUCAAAAAUGCAUCAUAAAGGAUUGAAAUGGUACCUGUUGCAGUGCUGCUAUAUUUUGGUGCAUCUGCAUUGAACAGAAUCGAAGAUGUUUUCAUGGGAUUUCAACACCUACGCAUGUACUCAAAGCAAAAUGUUUAUUGUUUUUGUUUACUUGACUCAAGCAGGCCCCUAUAACUAGGUUGUGUUCAACUUUUGGAUUGUGUAUGCUCCUUAUUGAUUAAAUAGUUAUUUUGUGUAUAUGAGCAGAUUGACUAUAUCCCUCUCUUGUAAAACUCAAAAUUGAUUACACGUUCAUGAAGUGGAAAAAGGAUCAUCAUUUAUACUUAAUGAAUUAAUGAUUGUCGACA